rnacentral:rRNA from 1 species
CCUACGGGAGGCUGCAGUGAGGAAUAUUGGUCAAUGGGCGGAAGCCUGAACCAGCCAAGUCGCGUGAGGGAAUAAGGCCCUACGGGGCGUAAACCUCUUUUGCCGGGGAGCAAGGGCGGGGACGUGUCCCGGCCCGGAGAGUACCCGGAGAAAAAGCAUCGGCUAACUCCGUGCCAGCAGCCGCGGUAAUACGGAGGAUGCGAGCGUUCUCCGGAUUUAUUGGGUUUAAAGGGUGCGUAGGCGGGCUUUUAUGUCAGCGGUAAAGAUUCGGGGCUAAACCCCGUCGGGCCGUUGAUACUGGGGGCCUGGAGUGGGCGAGAAGAAGGCGGAAUGCGUGGUGUAGCGGUGAAAUGCAUAGAUAUCACGCAGAACCCCGAUUGCGAAGGCAGCCUUCCGGCGCCCUACUGACGCUGAGGCACGAAAGUGCGGGGAUCGAACAGGAUUAGAUACCCUUGUAGUC